GUGCCAGCCGCCGCGGUAAUACGUAGGGAGCAAGCGUUGUCCGGAUUCACUGGGUGUAAAGGGUGCGUAGGCGGGAGAAUAAGUCAGCGGUGAAAUCUUACGGCUCAACCGUGAAACUGCCGUUGAUACUGUUUUUCUUGAGUUCGGGAGAGGUUGAUGGAAUUCCAGGUGUAGCGGUGAAAUGCGUAGAUAUCUGGAAGAACACCAGUGGCGAAGGCGGUCAACUGGCCCGAAACUGACGCUGAGGCACGAAAGCGUGGGUAGCGAACAGGAUUAGAAACCCCAGUAGUCC
rnacentral:rRNA from 1 species